rnacentral:tRNA from 1 species
GGGCGAGUGGCGGAACAGGCAGACGCGCAGGUCUCAAAAACCUGUGGGGGUUUCCUCAUGUGGGUUCGAUUCCCACCUCGCCCA